AACGAACGCUGGCGGCAGGCCUAACACAUGCGAGUCGAGCGCCCUUUCGGGGGAGCGGCGGACGGGUGAGUAACGCGUGGGAAUAUGCCCUUCUCUACGGAAUAGCCUCGGGAAACUGAGAGUAAUACCGUAUACGCCCUGUGGGGGAAAGAUUUAUCGGGGAAGGAUUAGCCCGCGUUGGAUUAGGUAGUUGGGGGGGUAAUGGCCCACCAAGCCGACGAUCCAUAGCUGGUUUGAGAGGAUGAUCAGCCACACUGGGACUGAGACACGGCCCAGACUCCUACGGGAGGCAGCAGUGGGGAAUCUUAGACAAUGGGGGCAACCCUGAUCUAGCCAUGCCGCGUGAGUGAUGAAGGCCUUAGGGUUGUAAAGCUCUUUCAGCUGGGAAGAUAAUGACGGUACCAGCAGAAGAAGCCCCGGCUAACUCCGUG
rnacentral:rRNA from 1 species